GGCAUUCUGCGCGGACCUGGGACCCUGGCCUUCGAGGCGGGGACCUCCGGGCGCUUUAGCGCUACGCUCUCCCGCGCCUGGGGACGGCGGCGGCGGGAAGCCUCGUACUUCCGGUCCGUCUACUCUGGGUCCGCGCCUUCAGUUCCGGGCAGGUCCGCAGUCUGUCGUUUGCCUUCCCCAGGCCGCGUGGGAGGUCGCGCCCCACGAGGGCAGGCCCAGGACUACCGGGGCAGCUCCGGGUCCCUCCGGUGGCGCCUCCUGGCCUUUGCACUUGGCUUCCCCUGCGCGUGGCCAAGCCCGGCGGCUCCUCUCCCGCGGUCGGACCCAGCGCCAACGCCCCCGUGGAAAGGCAGAAGAAGCCGCCGCCCCUCCCCACAUUCCAGCGGCACUCCGCUGGUCGUCCCCGACGGCUUGUUCUUCUAAGUGGACGCCUAGUGCGUUGCUUGCCUUCACUGCCCCACUUCACUCCGACCCCGGCACAGAUGUCCAGUGAGUGCUGAAACUUGCUGUCCCCGAGGGCGGCACAGUGGGGAGAAGAGGGGACAGGUACAGAAGAGUCGUGCCGGCACGCAGGGGCCUCCCGCUUCCCGCCGCGUGUACGUGCAGGACCGACGGCUAGGGUUACUGUCCGUUAAGAUGGUCGGGGAGGUUGGCCUGUGACCCAGGGAGGUGCUGCUGCGGUGGACUGGGCACCUCUCCACACCUCAGACCUGCCCUGUAGAGCCUCUUGGGCUCACCGGACUUCCCGGGCCGCGGACCAACCCCCUGGGGGAGUUGAACCUCACUAACUUCCUGGGUUUCUCUUCGCCCUUUGGUUCUGCAGGGCUUAGUCUUGAACACUUGGUCUCUCAGCUCCCCUGUGCCCUAAGGUGGUGAUUCUGCAUCCUGCUCUCAACACCAGCAGCCCUGGGGACACUUAGAAAGGAUUUGCUGUCAAAGCAGCCUGGGACAGCUGUAAUGCAGGACUGGGGACAUGCUUCCCAGCUCCGGGGACCUGAAACCCAGAUUAUUCUUGCCAUGCUUGUUCUUGGUUCUUGGGUCCAAGAUCAGAAGGAUUUUCAGUUUCAGGUCGGGUAGUUGGAUGGUGCAAGCUGGAAGGAAGCGGGGGGCCGCAAGGCCUGGGUUGGGUUGUAGGGGGCAGGGUUUUUUUUGUUUGUUGGUUUGGUCCUGCCCCUCCCCCGUCCCCCCCCCAACAGUAUUGGGGGUUGAACCCAAGGACACUCUUAUCAUUGAGCUAUAUUCCCAGUCUUUUUUAUUUUUGAGGGGGCACCUCUCCACACCUCAGACCUGCCCUGUAGAUCCUCUUGGGCUCACAGGACUUCCCAGGCCGCGGGAAUUGAAUUCAGGGGCACUGGACCACUGAGCCAUGUACCCAGCCCUGUAGGCCAUGUGGGAAUGCUGAGGUCUGUCAGGAGGCAGUAGGGGCAGGACAAGGGGAAGGCCUGCCAGAAAGGCAGGGCAGGGCAGAGAAAACAGUUUACCACAGUCUAGCUGGAAUGAUUCCGGCAAGCUUUAAACCGCAGACUAUUUCCUAGUUGUUUGGCACCUGCCCUGGACGACUGAAACAGGAAUAUUGCCUCCAGAGGCACAGGGCCCAAACUGGUCAGUCUGCAUAUCAAAGACUUGCUGCUGGCUGGCCCCAGGAGGGGCUGCUGUUGAGACAGGGUCUGUUUGUUGCCCAGGCUGGACUAACGUGAUCCUCCUGCCUCAGCCUCAGUGCUAGGACCACAAGUGUGUGCCAACCUCCCAGCUCAGAAAGACUUUUGAGUGAAAGAAAGCGUAAGGUACAGAGAAUAAAAAUAUUCUCAUAUUUUCAUCUUCCAUCCUGUGAAUGAGGCUAAAGGUCUCCAAGCUGGUGUUCCCGGCUUCUUCUCAUGCCCUCUGGUUCUAGUUGCAGCAUUCCAGGGCCCCUUUUUAGCUUCCUUAUAUGCUCAUGACUUCAGCAAGGUCAUGCCAGGGAAAUGCCCUGUCUGGGGAUUGGCUCGGUGACAGUGGCAACAGCCAUCAGGCCUAGACCUUCUUUGAGCACUCUGGGUCUGUACCAGAGUACUAAUUGUCCAUGCUUAAAAUUUCCCAUGUGUGCAUAUGUGUGUGUUGUUUUGUUUGUUCUUUGGUACUGGGGGUUGAACCCAGAGGUGUUUUACCAAUGAGCUACAUAUCCAGCGAACCCUCUCCACCCCCGUUUUUGAGUAUUUUGAGACAGGUCUAAGUUGCUCAGGGCCUUGCUAAGUUGCUGAUACUGGCCUUGAACUUCCAGUACUCUUGCCUCAGCCUCCUGAGUUGCUAGGAUUACAGGGGUGCACCAUCAAACCAGCAGGUGUGUGUUUUUAAGACAACGGACACUUAUCAUCUUGUAUAUUAGGGUGAAGAAGUAGGAGGAGCUUGGCAGGGUGAUUCUGACUCAGGGUCUCCCCACUGUGCUGGCCUCCUUCCGGGCCGGCCCUCGGAGACAGCAAGUUUCAGCACUCACUGGACAUCUGUGCCGGGGUUGAAGCUGAAAUCAACAUGUCAGUCGAAGCUGCAUUCAUCUGAAGGCCCUUUUGGGAGCUAGAGCCAGUAAAGACCAGGGAUUCCUUGUGGGCAGAACCCCUGGUACUCGGGAUGGAACCCAGGGAACUCCUUCCCUGUAUGACUUCACUCAACUUAAGUGGGUACAGUAGGCCACCUGUGGGCACUCAGACUGCCAGGAAAAGCUGGAGGGUGAGAGCGAGGGUGAUGGGCUCUGUCUGAUGCUGGGUGCUUUAAUGAUGAGCCUCAGGGUAGAGGGGAGGAUGGCGGGUCCUAUCCAAGAGAGGGACACCCACAGUCCCCUUUCUCAUCCUGUGCACACAGCCUGCAUAGUGCAGCUCCCCUGCAGUUACCCUGAGCUCUGCAACUGGGGUCUAGCUCUGGGGUGUGGACAGAUGAUAGAUGACAUGGAAUACAGUACACCAUCUUCCUCACCUGCUUCAUAGCCAGAGAGAAAACACGCAGCUGAAGACUCAAGGAAGUUGGUUAGACGUUAGAAGGGACCUGGGCCCCUGAGUCACUGGGGACACAGCCUUCCUUGAAGGGCCCAUUGACCCACUUCAGACUGUCCCAGGGGAAAAGUGUCGUAUGGCACUGAGCUCCUGUAAUUGUUAUGGCAGUGUUGCCUGCUGCUGAAGACUUUUUAAAAAAUUAAAGCUAAAAUCAUUACUUGUGCAAAGUGAGACAAAACAAACGUGUUAAGGAUUUUUACUUCCUUGGUUUUUUAUUUGUUGGUUGGUUGGUUCUGGGGGUUGGACUCAGGGGUGCAUUACCACUGACCUACAUCUCCAGUACUCAUUUUGAGACAGGGUCUCACUCAGUUGACGAUGCUGUCCUUGAAUAUGAAAUCCUCCUGCCUCAGCCUCUCCAUUAGCUGGGAUAAUAGGUGUAUGCCACCAACCUGGUGGAUUUUUACUUAUUGACUAGAGAAAUAGUAAGAUGUCUGCAAUUCUUUGAAGAUGGAGGAAGGGACCACAAGCCAAAGAAUACAAGGAAAGCAGCUAAACCCAUUGGAAAAGGCAAGAAAAGUGGUUCUCCCCAGAGCCUUAGUGGGAGCUCAGCUGAAAUCAACUGUGUGUGUGUGUGUGUGUGGGGGGGGGGGGGGGUGUUGGGGAUUGAACCCAGGGUCUGAGGAUAUCUUGAUUUCAGCCUAGUGAUGUUCAUGUCAGGCCUCUGGCCCCAGAACUGUGGGGGGGAAAUACAUUGUUUUUGGUACUGGGAUGGAACCCAGGAACCUUACCACUGAGCACAGGGUACAGUAAACUGCAGAGGCUGGCUUCAAUUCACAGUCCUUUACUUUAGGCCUCGAGUGUCUGGGAUUACAGACAGGCAUCAUCAAGGCCCGACACAUUACGGUUGUCUUAAGUCAUUGAGUUCGUGGGAAUUUGCUACAGCACAGGAAACGUUUCUCUUCCCUAUAUGGACUCCAUCCACUCCCUUAAUAGGUUCUCCCCUCUUAAGCUGAAGAAGGCUGCAGCGGUUCCAGCUGAUGUGCUCAGAGCUUCAAGUUCUACAGGAAAUGGAGGCGCCCGCAGAAUCCUCGGCCCCAGAUGCUCACAGGUGCACGUCUUUCGUUGAGCGAUGUUUGGCUGGGCCGUGGGCCCACACUCGUCUGAGCCACCAGGACUGGGAGUGGGGGCUGCCCGGGGGAAACAAAGCUCCAGGGGCGAGGAGACGGACUCAGCGGGGACGCGCAGUACCCCCCCACUGGCCGGCCAGCGCCUGGUGGGAAGCAGCCGCCAGCGGCCGAGACGGUGCGGGGUGGCGCUGGCCGGGGUCCCGCGCCGUCUCAGCUCCGAGGGGGCGGGCGCAGGUCUCCUCGGAGAGCCUGUGCCGUCACUCAGUCCGGGGAGCCGGGCUCGGCCAGGACGCUGAGUGAGGCGGACGGCCGCCGGGCUCGGGGCCGGAGGAGCCUCUCCGAGACCACCGAGAACCCGGCCGCCGCGGCGCCCAGAGCGGCCCGGAAGUGGGGCUCAGGCGGAAGCGCCGGGCCUGGCGCGCUGCGGGGCUGGACGGGCGGGUCCUCUCGGCGCACCCUUCCUCUUCGUGCGUUAGUUCGCUCUCGCGUCCCCAGUCCCCGGCUCCGGGCCCUCCCGGUCCCUGGCCGCGCCUCACUCCUGGCUCGCUCGCCUGCCAUGGCGCCUGGGCAGUGCCAGCCGCGCUGUUCCUUCGGCCCAGGCGUUGGUGGCCGCGGGAGGACCGGCCUGCGGGAACCCGAAGGGGAGGUGGGGGUCCCAGUUAGGGGGAGUGGCCAGUAGGAACCGAAGGGCCCACCCGGGCCUGGAGGUGCUCUCCCGGGAAGGGCUGGCGGCUGUGCCCGCCUUGUGUCCCCCGCAGGGAAGCCCUGGGCCCCACACGACUCUAUGGGAAGAGAAGUCGUGAACCCACUCGACUCUCCAGGGUGACAGAACAACAGCUACGGUGAGAAAAAAACGUGAAGCCUGUCCCCUGUGCACCUACGGCCCCAGGCGAAAGCCCCCUGCCCAGUUAAACCCUGGAAGUGCUCAGCGUGCGUCGCGAACACCGAGUCCUAAAAUCCUGAAAGGAGGGUCUCUGGAAAACCAGCUGAAACCUAAACGGCCGGCGCGGUGGCCCACGCAGCUCUAAUCCCAGCGGCCCAGGAGGCUGAAGCAGGAGGAUUGCAAGUUUCAGGCCAGCCUCAGCAACUUAACGUGGCCUUGUCUCAAAAUAAAAAGUAAAAAGGUCUGGAGAUGUGGCUCAAUGCUUAAGCACCCCUGGGUUCAAUCCCCAGUACCAAAACACCACCACCAACAAAAAACCUAAAUGGAAGGGACCCUGCCUAGUAAUCCUGGCCACCUCCACAGUUGUUAAGGUCACAUAAAUCAGCAGCCGCAUACAUCACUCAAAGAGUGAAGAUAGCUCCUGCUUCUCCUGAGUCAGGACUGGAUUUGCAGACCCCCUUCAGUGAGCCAAUUGAGGACCUCAAGCUACUCUUUAGUACAAUCACUUAAGGAUUAGCUGAGUAUUUUAACAAGGUAAUAACUAUUUUGUCUUAUCUAUAACCAAACUUACUCAUUGUCUCUGCAAUGCUGACCAUAAAACCUUCCAACCAAGGUGUAGGGAUCUCCUUCCCAGGACUAAACCUCACCCUUUGGUCAGUAAUUGGCUCAAGUCAGCCUCUAAGAGAUCUUUAGAUCUAACAUAUUUGUUUAAAACUUUACAAUUGAUCCCAUAUAAUUCCUGACCCGAAAUGCAGACCAGAGUUGUGCCUCUGGAUGUGAUCAUGCGAUGGAAAUGUGUCAUAAAAGGCCAGGUACUCCAGGGGUUGCAAAAACUAGAAUAGGCAAAGGACUUGCAUCAAUAUCAGGACUGAAAUACAUUAAUGUGGGUGAUUUAGCUUGAGAAGGGUAGUUAUAUAAUGACUGAUGAAGAAUAUGAUUGUCCCAUUUUAGAUGAAGAUAGAAUAGUUGAUGAGUUAGAAAACCAAAUGAGAGAAGGUGAAACUGUUGUAGGGAUAGAUGAGGCAAGGCACCGAGGACAGCAGGAAACAGUUUUAUUUGGCUGCAGCCAUGUUCAGAGGGCACAGCUUUUGCUGUAAUCCGUUAAUCCCCUGAACCCCGAGUUCCUGUAGUUUCAGAGUUUUACACCCAGCAUGUAAGGGGAGGGGCUCAGAAGUUCACAGUCUGCAGAAGUCCACAUAAAAGCAGCUUUUUCUUUCACUGUUUUGGGCAAGUUAACCCUCCAAGGACAACACCUGAGAAGGGGGGAGCUUCUUCUCCCCUCUCUUUCCUCCCCCUGCCAGCUAUUACAAUGGAGCCCAACUGGCAACUUCUCUUAUCUUAAAAAUGUAGACAUCUCUGUGAAGCCCAGCUCAAGGCCAGAGGCCUUGUUUGCACAUUUCUACAAACUACUAUACUGGAUACGUUUGAAAAACUAGUAAGGGGUGUCCAGAACCUGGAGUGCUGGUAUUCUCAGCCAGUGGCCAAAUAAACAGGGCAACACGAAAAUAGGAAGUUUAUCUACAUUGGACUCUUUUGCAGAGACUCUUUUGCUGACAGUCCUAAAAUCAGCCAUGGUGAAGAUUUCUGGAGAAGACAAGACUUUUCUGUGGAGAAAGGGGGUGCCACUUUAAAACUAUUGUUGAUUACCAUAGUUGUGAUUUCUUCCUUGGACACUGGUUUCACAUAGUUUUUGUGUUGAGAACAGAUAACAGUUUAUUGUACAAAAGACUUGAAACAAGGGUUUAUGUGGUGAGAAGAAAUUAAAAGAUAACAUUCAGUGUGAGAUUUUUCAAGUUCUCUGUGAAGAAGCCAUAGCAUCCUACAGAAGAAAUUGUGCAUCAACUGUCCAGCAAUAAACCAGAACUAGAAUAAUAUAGAUCACAUCUUGAAAUGGAUUGAGCAGUGGGUUAGAGAUAAUAGCACUUGACUGGCCACUUUACAGUCACUCUUAUUGAUUUCUUUCUGUCCACUUCAUAGAAAUUGUCCACAUACCAGUAAAUAUUAAAAUCAUGUUGCAGUCCUAGCAGGU
rnacentral:lncRNA from 1 species